UGUGAACCAUUUGAGGUGUCACACUUGGGGCACUAGGCACUCAAGCUUCAUGAAGACUUUCUACAUCAAAGAGGUAUGUAUUCUAUCUUGUUAUAUUGAUAGUUUUAUAUGCUAGAUUAGGAUAAUACCUUGGAUGUUCUUAUUUGCAUGUAUAAUAAAGAAAAUAUAGAUCCAAGGUAUUUAGGGUUGCAUGUACACUUAGGAGUGUUAGAAUGCUCAAAACCCAACAAUGGUAUCAGAGCUAAGCUUGUUUUCUUGUUAUACUCGCACAAGAAGCUGGAAAAUCGAGUUUUGAUGUUGUCUGCCCAGCAGACUCGCCGAGUCCAAGGCAAAAAACACCCAACUCGCCGAGUUGGUUCGUGCACUCGACGAGUUGGACCCCCAGACAGCAUAAAUUCGACUUUUUUGGCUGGAAUUGGACUAGGAACAUUACCCUAAGAUGUUUUUGAACUUAUAAACUUGUUUUUGAUGUGGUAAUGUUCAUGCUAAUCCAAUUUCAAAGAUAAUUGUCAAUAGAUUCAUGUUUUGUAUUAGUUUAAGGUUUAGACUAAUUACAUGAAAAAGUUUGAUUUGAAUUAUCUUGUUCUUAUGAGUUGCUUAGAUUAAUAGAAAAGUUGAGUGAAAUAGUUGUUUUCAAUCCAAAUUAAUCUAAGAGUUGAUUCUAAAAUGUGUUUUUGUAACUUGUCCUCAAGUUAUAUGAAAAGUCACAUUUAAGUUUCAUAAAACUCAUAAAAGUUGGCAAAGGUUACAAAAUGAAGAGUCUAGUUCUAAUUAAAUGGUUUUAUGACUCCAUAACUUGUCCUCAAGUUAUGGAGGACCAAGAGUCUCUUCAUUAAAUAAUAAAUAAAUAAAUAGAAAGUGUAACCUUAAUUAAUUCCAUAAGUUAUAAAAUAAAGAAAAGUUAAUUCUUUUAUUAGUUUAAAGUCUUCCAUAACUUGUCCUCAAGUUAUGGAACUUGAAGAGUUUUUGGAUUAAAACUACUUUAAACACAUAAGUUAUGGAAUUAAUUAGUUUUGAAUAGUUUCAAAACUUGCCCUCAAGUUUUGGAAUUUGAAAAGUUUUCACUUAUGAAUACUUUAAUUCCAAGUUAGCCCUUAGAAUUUUAAAAGUUAAAAUUCAACCCUUAUACUUUAUAAUAUUAUAAGUUAAUAAUAUAUAUAUGUAUAAGAGUAAAGUCAGUCUUACCGCUAGUACGCCUCAUUCACGAAGCCGGUCUAUAAGGUGGGUAUAAGGUUGUUGCCUAUAAAAUGGCAACUUAAUGGGUGUCCACUCUCACCCACCGCUUGCUUGACUGGUGGAGGGUCGUUAGCCGAACGGGUUUGACAGGACUAGAAUUCUCCCUUCAUUAAAAGUAUUAAUGAUAAUACUAAGUAACUAAACUCUUAAUAAUACCCAAUCUUAGUUACUUAGGAAAAAUGUGAAUAAGGUGCUAAUCCAUGAAAUUACACUUUACACUUUGUCUAAGUCGUUAGUGGAGCGUGUGUGGUUAACCGGCACACUAACUUGGACUUAACAAGGUAGGUAAAGGGUGACUUAAUAUUUAUCAUAGUAUCGAUGGAGCGUGUGUGGUUAACCGGCACAUCGAUUGAGGGGUAAUUUAUUAAGGGUACCAAGUGAUUUGCAUGGUUACUUCACACCUUGUUUUGUGAUCCUCGGCAUCCCAGUCACAAAACCUGAAGGGCACACUCGAGAUUGAAACAUGCCUUUGAAAAGUUCAAUGAAUCUCAAAGAUCUAGGAGUUUCAAAACCAAUUAAAACCUAAUAAUACAUUUCGUUUAUCUUGGUGGAAAUUGGUGAAUCGUCAUUCACCUACCUUCAAAUAUUUUAUAGCUUGGAUUACGGCAUACCUCUUCUAAGUUAUAAAAUAGUUUGUUGGGUCCUAGCCUUAAUAUUUCAUAUUGGGUGUCAUAUUAAGGACUUUAAAUCAACUAUCUUGAAUAUCUCCCAAAAGAUGUCUGGUUUAGACACCUAUGAUCUUCCCAAAUCUCUUGAAACAAGGUUUCCUAAUGAAGAUGAUGUCCCAUGGAUAUCAUACUUCUUCACCUCUUCAAAUUAUUCUCCCUAACCCACAAGUUCUUGAAAAGUUUAAGGUCACUCAGGCCCUAUUGGCAAGGCAAGGUCUAGGUGUGGUCACAUCUUGGAGAUGUAGUCACAUAUUGACAAGCCGGGAGAGUUGGGUGUCAAAGUCUUGAGAAAGUUGGUGGUUCAACCACUUUCUAAGUCACAUAGUGAGUUCCUUUGGGACACCUAUGAAACAGACUAUGACAAGACCCUUAAUGAUCUUAUCUAUUUGCUAAGAUCAACUUCCUAAAACUUUAUGGACAUUGACAAUGAUGACAUUGGAUAUCCAGUAAAGCAUUCUCUUCCCAAUGGAAAGGGAUCGGCCAUAGUCAACUCGGUUGACCAAAUGGUAAAGAGAAAAGCUAAGUCUGUGAUAGUCCCGUGUACCAUUAUCAAAGGGUCCAUAUGUUUAUAUUGCCAAAGGAAGGGGCAUUGGUUGCGAAGCUGCCAAAUUUACCUAAGGAUGUUAAAGUCAAUAAGUUUGACUCUACUUCAGGUAAAGUCCACUAUCUAACUCUGUUAAGUUUCUAUUCUGAGAUUCUUGAUACAUGAUGUGACUGGGUCACAUGGUGAUGUUUUAAGAAUCAAAGAAAAGUGAAGAAACUUAAAGAAAGAAUAUGCUGAAUCUGAUGGCGUAGAUGGAUUUCUAUCGCAUAGUUUGAAGAUCGGAUUCUUGAGCUACUUCUUAGGAGUUAUGAGAUAUUGCUUAGGAAUAGAUAACAACAAGUUUUCAUAUGGAUUGUAAGGAUAAGUUUUUCCGCAAAGUUUUAAAAUAAAAGAAAAUUUUUUUGAUUUUAUUUAUUUUAAAAUAUCCUUACAAUGGCAUUUGAGGAAAAAUUGUUGCUUAUAUGAUUCCAUUAAGAGCAAGAGUGGAAAUAUGAAAUUGAUUCUUUCAUUUGUGGUAAUGUCUAAAUUUACCAAAUAAGGAAAGAUUCUCAUCACCCAAGUUUCAAUUGGACCGGAACUUGGAAUCAUGCAAGUUGUAUAGCAUGAUGAAUGAGAACUUUCAAGUUUUGGAAAAUUAAGACUAAUUACUUGUUCACAUGGAUGUGUGAGUCAAGUAAAGGACUUAGGGAUCGAGUACACAUUCUUGUGCACUGAUUAAGUCCACCACUAAAGAUCGAUAAGAAGAAUCAAAUAAGGCAGAAGGAUAAAAGUUUCUCAAAUCUGAAAAGAUGGGAGAGUACUUUAGUAUCAGUUUUGUGAUCAUCUUAAUGAUUAAGAAACCAUAUCAAAAUUAGUUCUCUAAGGAAAUCUUAGUGCAUUCUUAUGACUAAGAAGAGGAACUUGAAUUGUUGAAAUGGUUAAAUCAAGAAGAUGAGUCAUACUUCGUUCCAAUACAAGUCUUAGAGUCAUACUCCAAGAUUGUCAUUUGAGUGACAUGUCUUAAAGAAGGUUUAAAACACUUGUCAAAUGUGAGAGUAAAAGAUUUCUACUCUUGUACAUUUGAAAUUGGUAAGUUGUGAUGUUUUGGAUAAAACAAAGACCAACGUAGGCCAAUUUUGUGAAGUGUGUGUCUUGAUUAGAAUCUACACUAUCUCUUGAAUAACUGACAAGAAAGUCUUAUAUGUCAAGAGGACAGUGGGAGUCUUAAAGGUCUUGAAAGUCUCAAGAACUAAUCAAGAAUAAAACCUGAAGUUCUUCACUAGCACACGACUUGAGGUUUAUAACCUAUCGUGUUGACAUAUUCUGUGCCCAUUCCAGUUAAAGUUGGCUUUGCAUAUGAGUUCUUAGAGUUCUCAAUUUGUUGCACAACAACUUGGAAGCAAUGGCAGGCCCUUGAGCUGCCAGGUGGCAAGAAAUUAAGAUUGAGUUCAAUCCAUAUGAGUUUGGAUUUGUCAUUAUCCUUGUCUUGUGACUAUGGUUUUGACAAUUCACAUGGAUAAGAACACAUACGCCAUUAAAUCUAAGUGUCAUAAGGUUUCUCUCCGAUUCAUGAAAAUGAUGGUGAGGAAACACUUUCACUAAGUAGAUUUUAGCUAGAUAGCAAUUGUGAUAUUUGCAUUCUCAAAGUCGUUAGUGGAGCGCGUGUGGUUAACCGGCACACUAAUUUGGACUUGUGAGAAGUGGCAAAAAGGUCUAACCAUUAUGAUUACGGCAUACCUCUUCAUAAUUGUUUAGACACACAAGUGUGCUAUCUAAGGGAAGGUGUAUGAUUUUGAUAAAGUUUUAUCAAAACAAUCUAGUAUCAGAAAUCUGAACUUUGGUAAGAAAGUCAAUGAAGUAUUGAUUUCUAGAAGUCCAGCUGAUUUCUGAGUACAUGUCAAAGCUAGUGGGAGCAUAAGUGUUAUGCUAAUAAUCAUCAUGUUAGUGGGAGCAUGAUAAUUAUGAUAAGUAUUGCAAGUUAGCAAUGUUAAUUAUAGAAAACAAAAGUUUCAAUUGGGAAAAAGUUGUUUUGCUAUAAUUAAGGGAGAGGAAAUUAUGCUUCAUCUCAAAUCUAUAAGCUUAGAUCGUGAGGUUUUAAUCAUUUAGUCAAGGAUAUAUAUGAAUUUCAUGUUGGAAUGGCUCAACAUAAGGAAAUUCUGUAUAUGGGUCCAUUAUUUGCGUUCUAAAAUUCGAUUAUGAUUACGGCAUCCCUUUUCAUAAUCUGAAUUAUGAGAACUUGGCAAAUUGAAAUGGAAAUAUUAUAGCAAAAGACUGGUUUAGUCUUUAUGUAAGACAUCAUGAAUCGUGUCCCAUAUGAUUCGGAUAUAGGAUCGAUUACAUGUGCUAUAUUCAUCCUUUCUAAAAUUUUCCAAAUGCUUGGGGCAUUAAGAAGGGAAAAGGUUUAGAACUGGAUAUGACUAAAAGGAUUAAACAAUUGUCGAGGACAAUCUAUGGUUUACCAAAGAUUGGUUGCUCAAGGACAAUUGGAAGAAUAGUGAUAAUUCUGGAAGGAGCAUAUUGACAUAGUCUGUAAGGAGGUAACUCUUAUUCAUAAGGGAUAAGUCAAAAUGGAAUCUAGAAAUGUUUCAAAGUUAGAAUUUUCAAUCUGUUUAAGAUUAGGAAACUUAAUGCAGGAAGGAUGUUUCUAAGGAGUUGAUCUCCUUUGGAAUACUCUGUAAUGAUUGUUGUCAAGUCUUUCUGACUUUGUGCAUAAUCAUUACAAGAGGAUCAAUGCAUAUAAGUUUAGAAUCUAACAGAUUUCAGUAAAUGGCAUGAAUUUGGAAUUCUUGCAUUUGCAGUAAGGAUUUGGGAGUGUGAAAAGAGAAUCAUUGAAGUUAUGUUCAAUUGAUCUAGUUCACAAAGUAAAGAUCAUAGACAAACAUAGUAUGCAUACUUGGUGUGUGGCAUGACUAGUGUUUAAGAAAACAUAGUGUACAUGCUUGGAGCAUGGGACAACUAUUGUUUUAAAUUCAAGAAUAAAGUUGAUAGCUGAAACAGUAUACAAUGAAUAAUGUGUAAUCAUAUGGUGAUAAAUAAAAGGUGUUUUAUUUAUGUUCAAAGUUUUGAUACCAUAUUGGAUUCAAUUAUUAUUGUGUUUCACUUUGCAUGUUUUGACUUCCCGAAUAAACUAGGUUAUUCUUCCGGAAUGACUAAGUUAUUCAAACCAUCCACAGUCGGUCAUAUGUUGGAAGUAGAUAUGAAUUAAGACUGUCAUGGGUUGGCUUGUAGAGGUCUAAGGUGUUGGACAAAGGGCUACAACACUCAUGAGUGCUCAUAAGUUCUGAGUAUUGGAUUCAACCCGCGCUCAUUGGAAUCACUUCAUGGAUUUUAUCACGAGUGAUCAUGAGACGAUAAUAUCUUAUAUUCUUCAAACCUAGAGAUAUGAGUUGUUACUAUGAGUUGAUAGUACAUUGAUUGCACGAAAACGCAUUUGGUAACUCGGUGCUAUAAAACGUGCCUUUGUGUAUGAUUCAACAAGUAGUAGAACAAGCCAUAUGAGUCGAAGUUUAUCCAUUCCUUUUACCUUCGGGAUAAAAGCGAUAUCUGUGGGCCCCUCGAUGAUUUGAUGAUGACAAAUGGAAGUGCUCGGCCGGGCCAGGACUGAUUUGAUUUGUUCAAUUAGUCAGUCGUCAUAAAUCGGAAAUCGGGAAACAACAAAUGGACAGAGAGAAUGAUUAUAAUCCAUGUCUCAGUCCAUAUGAUAUCUAGAAUGGAGGAAUAUAUGAUCCCUUAUCUAAUGGACAAGUCAUUGACAAAGGUCAGAGUUCAUCUACAAGGUCAGAGUUCGACAGAAGCUUUUGAGAGCUACGAUUGCCAGUUGGUUCCUGAAGUCAUACGCAAUAAUAGUUUUAGACUUAUCCAAGUGGGAGACUGUUGGAUUAAUGUCUAAGUCCAUAACUAUAAUUGGUAAGACUUGACCCGACCCGGCAUGGUCCAUUUGGGUUGCAUGGCAUCAUGCACUUGGAUAGACUAUAAUGAGAGAAAUAAGACACUUAUGGUUAUUAAUAUAUUAUAAGUUCUAGUAUAUUAAUAAUAAGAAUAAUAAGAUUAUUUAAUUAGUAUUGAUCAAGAAUUAAUCUAGGAUUAAUUAAGUGAUCAAAAGAAGACUAAUUAAAUAUAUGGGUUGAUUGUGUAAAUCAUCCAUACUUGUAUAGUGGGCUAAUGCUCCAUGGAUAAUCAAGUUGGGCUAAAACCCAUAGGAUGGUCCAUGGAUGCUCCAUGGUGUAUUUGAACCCAUGGAUCCAAGGAAAUGGAAAGUCAUGACAAUUAGGGUUUACCCUAAUUGUAACACUAUAUAAAGAUCUUAUUCUUGAUAAAAUCGGCCACUAGUGAGUGUAAUAGAAGGGCUAGCCGAUUUUCAUGAAGUGUAGAAUUCUCUCAAGUUAUUCCAAGUGUAUUUGGUGUUGUGUGAACCAUUUGAGGUGUCACACUUGGGGCACUAGGCACUCAAGCUUCAUGAAGACUUUCUACAUCAAAGAGGUAUGUAUUCUAUCUUGUUAUAUUGAUAGUUUUAUAUGCUAGAUUAGGAUAAUACCUUGGAUGUUCUUAUUUGCAUGUAUAAUAGAGAAAACAUAGAUCCAAGGUAUUUAGGGUUGCAUGUACACUUAGGAGUGUUAGAAUGCUCAAAACCCAACAAUUUGU
rnacentral:lncRNA from 1 species